rnacentral:lncRNA from 1 species
GAAUCGCGCGUCAAACGGAGUUACGGAGCUAAAGUUACGUCAUUUUCAAUUUUCCAAUUUUUUUUAGUAACAGUUGAAACCUGUUACGCUCAAAUCGGUAACUGGUUACGAGCCAAAAACCUAUUUUUCGUCGUUGGAGGCCUUUCUAACCUCCAAUUUCGAUUCCGUAAAAACCUCUGAUCUCAGAAUUUGACAUACUAUAAUAAUUCAAUGAUUAAAAUAGAAAAUUCAUAGUAUAUCAAAGAUUAGCAUAAAAAAAUCGUUCAUUAUCAUCAAUUCAUAUGUACCCCAAACCUCCCAACAACAACAGUUUCAACAGUUCAUCAUUUCAACUCUGACCCGAAACCACAUCAAUUCACACAACUUGUACAUCACAUAAUCAAAUCAAAUUUCUUGGGUUUAACAGCAACAUUUUCAUCAUUCGCACAAUUCAAUCAAAUUUCAUGGGUUUAAUAGCAACAUUUUCAUCAUUCCCACAAUUCAAUCAAAUUUCAUGGGUUUAAAAGUAACAUUUUCAUCAUUUACACAAUUCAAUCAAAUUUCAUGGAUUUAACAACAACAUUUUCAUCAUUCACAUAAUUCACAUAAUUCAAUCAAAUUUCAUGGGUUUAACAAUAACAUUUUCAUCAUUCACAUAAUUCAAUCAAAUUUCAUGGGUUUAACAACAACAUUUUCGUCAUUCCCACAAUUCAAUCAAACUUCAUGGGUUUAACUGCAACAUUUUCAUCAUUCCCACAAUUCAACAUAGAUAAGAAAAUAUAUAUGUUGGUGUAAGCCCUAAAGGCCAAUACUUUUGGUACUUGUAUCGAAUUAUUUAUUAAUUAAUAAAAGGCUUUUUCUUUAUUAUGUUUGGUUAAUAAAGUCCCUAGAAUAGCUAGUCCGUUUAAUGUAUCAAGUAUGACUUAAUCAUGAGAUCACAUUAAACAUAAGGACACUAUUCUUAAAUUAUCCGUAGUCGAGCUUUAUUGUGAAGUGGGAUAACAUUAAAGCAUUAAGACUAUUAUGUUUGUAGACUGAUGAUCACAUCUCAUGGAUCAUGGAUAAAGAGUUAUCAAGUCUUAAACAUAGGUAUGAAUAUUAAGAGUAAUAUUUAUACCGGAUUGACCCGCUAUGAGAAUACUAUAUAGAAAGUUAUGCAAAGUGUCAUAAGUUAUUCUCAUGGUGAUAAUGGUGUAUACCACUCUUCGACCUGAAACCACUAUGGAUCCUAGAUGUAGAGUCGAGUGCUUUAUUGCUGAUCCAACGUUGUCCGUAACUGGAUAACCAUAAAGACAGUUGAUGGGUACUCCACGAAGCAUGCUGAGGGACAUGAGUGACCUAGAUGGAAUUUGCCCAUCCUGCAUAACAGGAUAAAUGUCUAUGGGCCCAAUAUUGAACUGGACAAGGAUGACACGGUCUAUACCUUGUGUUCAAUAUAGACAUAAGGGCAAAAGGGUAAUUAUACACAUAAUUAUUAUCACAGGAGGUUUUGUCAUAUCACAUGACAUUUUCGUGACUUAGGUAGCAGUGAUGUGUUGCUAGAUACCGCUCACUAUUUAUUAUGUUAAAUGCGUGAUUUAAUAUAAUUGCCAACGUCGCGAAAACCUACAGGGUCACACACAAAGGACGGAUUGAUGAGAGAUAGAUUAACUAAGGAACACCGUAAGGUACGGUGCACUUAAGUGGGAGACGAAAUAUGGUAAGGUACCAAAUACUUAAGUGAUUUUGGCAUAUUAUGUGAUAUGGGCCAAAAUACACUUAAGUGGGCUUUUUAGCUUGAAGCCCACACAAGUGGUUCUAUAAAUAGAACCCUUGGGUAGAAGCAUUGUCACUCAGACUAAAAACUCAAGUGAAGACUUGGAAUUUCGUUUCUCUCUCUCUCUCUCACUCAAAACCUUCAUUCGUACCAGCUAGCACUGAGAUUGAAGGAACCUGUUCGUGUGGACUGAGUAGAUAUGUUGUCAUCGUUCAACGUUUGUGAUCGCUCCGUGGAUUUGUAUCCAAGGUUUUGAUCGUUACAAGAGAUCUGCACCAAAGGUUUGAAUCGCCAUAAGAGGUAACGAUUCUAUCACUGAUCAUGCCCAUUCGUAAGGAUCACUAAAUGGAGAAAUUUUUAAAUUCCGCUGCGCCUUGGAUGGCAAUUCUCCUNNNNNNNNNNNNNNNNNNNNNNNNNNNNNNNNNNNNNNNNNNNNNNNNNNNNNNNNNNNNNNNNNNNNNNNNNNNNNNNNNNNNNNNNNNNNNNNNNNNNNNNNNNNNNNNNNNNNNNNNNNNNNNNNNNNNNNNNNNNNNNNNNNNNNNNNNNNNNNNNNNNNNNNNNNNNNNNNNNNNNNNNNNNNNNNNNNNNNNNNNNNNNNNNNNNNNNNNNNNNNNNNNNNNNNNNNNNNNNNNNNNNNNNNNNNNNNNNNNNNNNNNNNNNNNNNNNNNNNNNNNNNNNNNNNNNNNNNNNNNNNNNNNNNNNNNNNNNNNNNNNNNNNNNNNNNNNNNNNNNNNNNNNNNNNNNNNNNNNNNNNNNNNNNNNNNNNNNNNNNNNNNNNNNNNNNNNNNNNNNNNNNNNNNNNNNNNNNNNNNNNNNNNNNNNNNNNNNNNNNNNNNNNNNNNNNNNNNNNNNNNNNNNNNNNNNNNNNNNNNNNNNNNNNNNNNNNNNNNNNNNNNNNNNNNNNNNNNNNNNNNNNNNNNNNNNNNNNNNNNNNNNNNNNNNNNNNNNNNNNNNNNNNNNNNNNNNNNNNNNNNNNNNNNNNNNNNNNNNNNNNNNNNNNNNNNNNNNNNNNNNNNNNNNNNNNNNNNNNNNNNNNNNNNNNNNNNNNNNNNNNNNNNNNNNNNNNNNNNNNNNNNNNNNNNNNNNNNNNNNNNNNNNNNNNNNNNNNNNNNNNNNNNNNNNNNNNNNNNNNNNNNNNNNNNNNNNNNNNNNNNNNNNNNNNNNNNNNNNNNNNNNNNNNNNNNNNNNNNNNNNNNNNNNNNNNNNNNNNNNNNNNNNNNNNNNNNNNNNNNNNNNNNNNNNNNNNNNNNNNNNNNNNNNNNNNNNNNNNNNNNNNNNNNNNNNNNNNNNNNNNNNNNNNNNNNNNNNNUUAAAUUGAGAUCGAUCAAGUUACAUAUAUAUGAUAUAUGUAAUCCUGAUGCAAAAUACAUUAUAUAUGAUAUAGUGUUCUUGUUUCGUUCAUUCAAACACUCAAUGGUUGUUUUCCUUUGAGCGAUCAAUGGUCGUUUGCUUCUUGAUCCGACAUUAGUAUGGUGAAGCAAUGACGUGUUGAUCAAUCAUACUGAAUCAACAAUCGAGAUGUGUUUGACGGUCUGAAAUUGGUGCAUCAGGGUUAGUGACGGCACAAGGGUUGUGUUGUCAGAGAGUUAUGCGAUUGGGGUUAUGACUGCACAAGAGUUGUGCUUUCUAAACACUUUUUGGAACAGUGUUAACCGGUUAAUGCAUAUGGUUAACCGGUUAACGCAAUACGAAAUAAAUUUUUUUAACCUUUUCAAACAGUGUUAACCAGUUAACGCAUUUGGUUAACCGGUUAACGCAAGACGAAAUUCAGUUUUCUAAGAGAUUUUCAAACAGUGUUAACCGGUUAACACAUUUGGUUAACCGGUUAACGCAAGGCAGAAAACAAUUUUUGAACAGAUUUCAAACAGUGUUAACCGAUUAACGCAUAUGGUUAACCGGUUAACGCAAGGCAAAAUUCACCCGUUCGGCUAACUCAGUGCUUUAAAGUAUCAAGUGUUGAUGCGAAAAGCGACGUCGACCGGGCAGCGGACCCCCGGCUAACUCUGCGUAGUGUGAUCGGUCGUCGAAAUUUAAUUUGAUUUUAAUUAAUUAAAAGAAUUAAUAAUAAUAAUAAAGUGUUUAUUAUUGUCUUGUGGUGAUCGGUUAUGGCCUUAGUUUUCCUUUAUUUUGUUUUGGGUUUUAAAAUACGACCUGCGUGUCGUGCCUCUCUCUUAAUCUCCCAAAUGUAACUUCUUUUCUCAUCUCACUCCCUCGUAUGUAAAACGAGUUUCUUUUNNNNNNNNNNNNNNNNNNNNNNNNNNNNNNNNNNNNNNNNNNNNNNNNNNNNNNNNNNNNNNNNNNNNNNNNNNNNNNNNNNNNNNNNNNNNNNNNNNNNNNNNNNNNNNNNNNNNNNNNNNNNNNNNNNNNNNNNNNNNNNNNNNNNNNNNNNNNNNNNNNNNNNNNNNNNNNNNNNNNNNNNNNNNNNNNNNNNNNNNNNNNNNNNNNNNNNNNNNNNNNNNNNNNNNNNNNNNNNNNNNNNNNNNNNNNNNNNNNNNNNNNNNNNNNNNNNNNNNNNNNNNNNNNNNNNNNNNNNNNUUUUAAAAUACGACCUGCGUGUCGUGCCUCUCUCUUAAUCUCCCAAAUGUAACUUCUUUUCUCAUCUCACUCCCUCGUAUGUAAAACGAGUUUCUUUUAUGUAAUAUAAUGAUAUGAAGAAAGCAAAGAAGUCAAUGCCAAAGGAGGACAACCUUGAAGAUCUUGCUUGGAGAAGCUUAGAUCGUUGUUAGGUUAGCUUAGGUUCUCUCAUUGGCUUGGGAGAACAAUUGUGCUAGGGGCCGUAACUGUUUCAUUAUGUAUGUAUGUAUGUUGAUGCAUGUGAAUGUAUGUUGAUGCAUGUGAGAGACGGUUUAUAUGAUAAACAAGCCGGUGAGAUCAUAAAAAUUGUAAUUCCCUCAAAUUAAAUAUUAAGUUUAUGCUUUCCAAGUUUUAACACUCAUCAAGACUAGUAAUGGAUAAUGUAGGUUUCGCCUACGCGACGUGCACGUUCUAUAUUAGUAAGGUGCGAUGGGAUAAUUGUAAUAUCCAAUUGUUAAAACAAUGGGUCAAACUUAACUAAACUAAUUAUAAUAACAUUAUAUAUGUUUAGAAGCAAGAGUUGGGAAUGAUCCAUAUGAUGGAUUGGAAUAAGGAGUUAUUCACCCAACUGAAAUUUUCGAGAGUUGUAUGAGAUACAAUUGGAAGGAGUUCCUACCUAAAUAACCUAGUUUUGUGUAAUCCGCCUACGCGGACUUAGAACGAAGUGAAAUAUGGAUCUCGACCCACUAGAAAAUCUUCCAACGGGAUUUUCCGAAUCAAAUGAUGAUGGUCAUUUGUUUUGAGUAAAAUAGUGGGAGCAUAUUUGAUUAAAGGCCUAAUUAAAUAUGUCAAUGAUACUUAUAUUUUCAUUAAAUCUUAUGUAGAUUACCAUGACAGCAAACACCUCUAACAACAUCCUACGAUCAAUCCUUGAUAAGGAAAAAUUGUCUGGGACAAAUUUUCUGGAUUGGCACUGAAACUUGAGGAUUGUCCUCAAACAUGAUAAAAAGCUGUAUGUCUUGGAGACACCUGUUCCUGAAGAGGAACCUCCUAGUUCUGCACCUAAGGCAAAAAGAGAUGGUUAUAAGAAGCAUGUCGAUGAUGCCAAUGAAACUGCUUGUCUCAUGCUAGCUACCAUGAACUCAUAAUUGUAAAAGCAACAUGAGAACAUGUCAGCGUUCAAUAUGAUCGAACACCUGAAGAUGCUCUAUCAAGAGCAAGCAAGGCAUGAGAGGUUUGAAGUUUCAAAAGCCCUUUUUCAAGGCAAGUUAGAUGAGGGAGCCCCUGUAGGUCCCCAUGUGCUCAAGAUGAUUGGGUAUGUGGAAAACCUUGAGAGAUUGGGUUUUCCCCUCGAAAAGGAACUUGCGACUGAUUUGAUCUUGCAAUCGUUGCCAGAUAGAUUCAGUCAAUUUGUCCUAAAUUUCAAUAUGAAUGAUAUGGACAAAUCUCUUCCUGAACUGCUCGCCAUGUUAAGAACUGCUGAGCAGAAUCUGAAGUCAAAAGGGAAGUCCAUUCUGAUGAUCGGAAAUGGAAAGAGACAGAACAAAAGGCCCACCAAGCAGGGUGAUAAAGGGAAAGGAAAGGAAGUUGCCAAACCCAAACCCACUGUUGCUGCUUUGAAGCCUAGUGGAGGCAUAGCAAAAGAAGGCACCUGCUUCCAUUGCGGUAAGACCGGACACUGGAAGAGAAACUGCCCAAAGUACCUGGAAGAUAAGAAGAAUGGAGUAGAGACUUCAACUUCAGGUAUUUUUGUUAUUGAAAUUAAUUUAUCUACUUCUGCAUCAUGGGUAUUAGAUACUGGAUGCGGUUCUCACAUUUGUACAAAUGUGCAGGGACUAAAAAGGAGUAGAGAUUUGGCAAAAGGUGAAGUUGACCUACGAGUUGGCAAUGGAGCAAAGGUUGCUGCUUUAGCCGUAGGAACUUAUGUAUUGACUUUACCUAGUGGUUUAAUAAUUCAGUUAGAGAACUGUUAUUAUGUACCUGCAAUUAGCAGGAAUAUUAUUUCCGUUUCUUGUUUGGACAAGUUUGGUUUUUCAUUUAUAAUAAAGAACAAUUGUUGCUCAAUUUAUUUGAAUGAUAUAUUCUAUGCUACUGCACAAAUGAACAAUGGACUAUAUGUCCUUGAUCUUGAAAUGCCUAUUUAUAACAUUAAUACUAAAAGGAUGAAACCUAAUGAGUUAAAUCCAACUUACCUUUGGCAUUGUCGAUUAGGCCACAUAAAUGAGAAACGCAUUUCCAAACUCCAUAAAGAUGGACUCUUGGACUCUUUUGAUUAUGAAUCAUAUGAGACAUGCAGAUCUUGUUUAAUUGGAAAGAUGACAAAGUCUCCAUUCACAGGAAAAGGUGAAAGAGCUAAUGAUCUUUUGGCCCUCAUACAUACUGAUGUAUGUGGACCACUGAACAUACCAGCCAGAGGAGGUUUUCAGUACUUCAUCACAUUUACUGAUGAUUUCAGUAGAUAUGGUUAUGUGUAUUUAAUGAAACACAAAUCAGAGUCCUUUGAAAAGUUCAAGGAAUUCAAGAAUGAAGUACAAAACCAACUAGGUAAGAAUAUUAAAACUCUUCGAUCAGAUCGAGGUGGUGAGUAUUUAAGCCUAGAGUUUGAUGACCAUCUGAAAGAGUGUGGGAUCCUAUCCCAACUUACUCCUCCUGGAACACCCCAAUGGAAUGGUGUAUCUGAGAGAAGAAAUCGAACCCUGUUAGACAUGGUCCGAUCCAUGAUGAGUCACGCCGAUCUUCCAAACUCCUUUUGGGGACAUGCACUAUUGACAGCAGCUUACACACUUAACCGUGUUCCAUCCAAAAGGUUGAAAAGACACCAUAUGAGAUAUGGAGUGGUAAGAGACCACAUAUGUCUUACAUGAAGAUUUGGGGUUGCGAAGUUUAUGUGAAACGACAAAUUUCAACUAAGCUUGAGCCCAAAUCUGACAAAUGCUUAUUUGUGGGGUAUCCUAAAGAAACAAGAGGGUAUUACUUCUACAAUCCUUCUGAGGGCAAAGUGUUUGUCGCUCGAACUGGAGUUUUCCUAGAAAAGGAUUUUAUUUCCAAAGGAAUCAGUGGGAGGAAAGUAGAGCUUGAAGAAAUUCAAGAAUCACAAAGCAUCGAUACACCUAUGGAGGAAUUAGAGCAGGAAACACAAGUAGUUGUGUAAGAGCAACCUGCUCAAGUAGAACAAGACCAGCGUAGGUCAAGCAGGAUACAUCACCUACCUGAGAGAUAUGGAUAUCUCAUAAAAGAUCAAGGUGAUGUAUUACUCAUGGAUCAAGAUGAGCUUGUGACCUACUCAUGGAAUCUUCAUUUUGAUGAAACAGUAAAACAAUAUGGAUUCAUCAAGAACGAAGAUGAGCCUUGUGUCUACAAGAAGGUUAGUGGGAGCAUGAUCGUGUUCCUGGCAUUAUAUGUAGAUGACAUAUUACUCAUUGGAAACGAUAUCCCUACCCUGCAACAAGUAAAGUCUUUGUUGGGGAAAUUCUUUUCUAUGAAAGACCUAGGUGAAGCAGCCUAUAAAUUAGGAAUCAGAAUCUAUAGAGAUAGAUCACAAAAUGCUUGGCCUAAGUUAGAGUACAUAGACAAAAUGCUGAGACGCUUUAAUGGUUCCAAUGGUUAUGUGUUUUGCUUAAAUGGUGGCGCUGUGAGCUAGAAAAGUUCAAAGCAAGAUACAGUUGCUGAUUCUACAACCGAGGCCGAGUAUAUUGCUGCCUUAAAUGCAGCAAAGGAAGUUGUUUGGAUCAGAAGUUCCUUAGUGAACUUGGCAUAGUUCCUGGCAUUGUGGAUCCCAUUGGUUUCUAUUAUGAUAACAAUGGUGCUAUCGCACAAGCUAAGGAGCCUAGAUCUCACCAACGAUCCAAACACAUACUUAGGCGUUAUCAUCUCAUUCGAGAGAUAAUAGAUAGAGGAGAUGUGAAAAUAUGUAGAGUACCUACACUUGACAAUAUUGCUGACCCACUAACGAAGCCUCUUGCGCAGCAGAAGCAUGAUGGCCAUAAUAGUCAAUGGGCAUUAGGGGUAUGCCUGAUUGGCUCUAGUGCUAGUGGAAGAUUGUUGGUGUAAGCCCUAGAGGCCAAUACUUUUGGUACUUGUAUCGAAUCAUUUAUUAAUAAUUAAAAGGCUUUUUCUUUAUUAUGUUUGAUUAAUAAAGUCCCUAGAAUAGCUAGUCCGUUUAAUGUAUCAAGUGUGACUUGAUCGUGAGAGCACAUUAAACAUAGGGACACUAUUCUUAAAGAAUUCGUAGUCGAGCUUUAUUGUGAAGUGGGAUAACAUUAAAGCAUUAAGUCUAUUAUGUUUGUAGAUUGAUGAUCACAUCUCAUGGAUCAUGGAUAAAGAGUUAUCAAGUCUUAAACAUAGGUAUGAAUAUUAAGAGUAAUAUUUACACCGGAUUGACCCACUAUGAGAAUACUAUAUAGAAAGUUAUGCAAAGUGUCAUAAUUUAUUCUCAUGGUGAUAAUGGUGUAUACCACUCUUCGACCUGAAACCACUAUGGAUCCUAGAUGUAGAGUCGAGUGCUUUGUUGCUGAUCCAACGUUGUCCGUAACUGGAUAACCAUUAAAGACGAGUGAUAGGUACCGUCCAGCAAAGUCAUGAGCCUGAGGAGACGAUGAGUGGUCCUAGGAUGAAUUUUGGCCCAUCCUGUGUAAGCAGGAUAAUGGUCUAUGGCGGCCCAAUGAUUGAAGACGUGGAAGGAUGACGCGGUGGUGGUCGGUUAUACCCUUGGGUUCAUAUGACAUAAGGGCAAAAAGGGUAAUGGUAGUACAGCAGUAAUUAUUAUCACGAGGGGGUUUGUGGUUAGAUCACAUGACAUUUCCGUGACUAUUGGGUAGCAGCUGAGUGUUGCUAGAUACCGCUCACUGGUUGUAUUUUUGUUAGAAUGCGGUGAUUUUGAUUUAAUUGCAACGUCGCGAAAAACCUACAGGGUCACACACAAGGACUGAUUGAUGAAAUUAGGAUAACUAAGGAACACCAUAAGGUACGGUGCACAUAAAUGGGAGACAAUAUGGGAAUACCAAUACUUAAGUAUUUUGCAUAUUUGAGAUAUGGGCCAAAUACACUUACAUGCCUUUAGCUUGAAAGCCCACGACAAGUGUGGUGCUGAUAAAUAAACGCCUGCUUGGUAAAGCGAUGUCGCACUCAGACUUAAAAAUCAAUGUGAAACUUGGAAUUUCGUUUCUCUUCUCUCUCACUCAAAGCCAUUCCAAUCUGUUACAGCUAGCACUGAGAUGAAGGGAACCCUUCUGUGAGCUGAGUAAGACUUGUCAUCGUUCAACGUUCGCGAUCGCCCGGUGGAUUUGUAUCCAAGGUUCUGAUCUUACAAAGAUUCUGCACCAAAGGUUUGAAUCGCCAUAAGAGGUAACGAUUCUAUCACUGAUCAUGCCCAUUCGUAAGGAUCACUAAAUGGAGAAAUUUUUAAAUUCCGCUGCGCCUUGGAUGGAAAUUCUCCUUCAAUUAUAACAUUGCAUUUGCAUCUUGCCUCAAGGAUCAUAGCAUCUUGGCUCCUAACCCUAGGGUGGGAACUUUUGUGAGUUGGUUUGAGAUCACCAAGCAUGCUUGAAUUGUAUAUUAUUGCUUUUCUUCUUUUGUUUACUAAGCAAAAGCACAAAAAUAUGUCAUUAACAUCUUUUGUUUUGUAGCUUGAGCAACCAUAAUAUCCAAGGCUCCUAGAAGACUCUAUGCUCAUUAAUAUGGCCAUAUGAAGUUGAAAGCAAGCAUGACAAUGGCUCACAAGGCUCUCAUCCAUCAUAUAUGCCUCCCAAGUAUCUCAAUUCAUAAUUUUGAUCAAAGCAAACCAAAGGGAUUGAGGCUUGUUUCCCAAGGAAACCCUAAUUCAUAUGUUCAUCAACUGUGCCUUGCUCAUGAAGCAACCUCAACCCAUGAUCAAAUACAAUUAAGGGAAAUUAUUUCACUAAUAAUUUAAUGCAUAUUUGAGCUUAUUUGAGUUUCCUCAAUCAUCAAUUCAUCAAGAUUCGAGGCAUGGACUUGAGAAGUUGAUCAGUUAAUUCAUCUGACUAUUUUGAAGUACACUGAGACCUAACUUUUAAUGUAUUUAUCAAAUGGAGAUGACCCCAAGAGAAAACAUGUUCUUAAUAACCAUAUGAACAACUUUCAUUUUCAUCAAAAAUUAAUUUGAAGCUUGGAAGGUCAUCAUCCAUUUCAAAACAUUAUAGGUCCUUUUGACUGAAACCCUAAUUUUGGGUCAACUUCCCAAGAACAUAACUCUUUCAUUUUUUAUGAUUUUGAGGUGGGAUCAAAUGAAUUGGAAAGUUUAAGAUGUAUAAUUCAUUUGUUAUGUAGAACAAAUUUUCAUAAUCCUAAAAGAAAUAUAUGUGAUAAUGCAAAACAUUAUAGGUCACUUUGGACCAAAGGCAUUGAAAUGUGAAAAAGUCCAACUUCAAGUGCCCAUAACUUUCUCAUAAAAAAUACAAAUGAUGCAACAUUUAUGUCCAAAUUGAUUGUAUUGAAAAUACCUACAACUUUUAUGUUGAAGGUUUUGUUAUUUGGAGCUUGUAUCUUUGAAAUAGAAGGGCUUGAAGUUGGCCCAUUUUGGAAAUUUUCACAUACACAUGUUUUGCACCUUGCACUUUAUGAUCAGUUUUCAUCAAUUUUCCAACUCCAAAUGAAGUUUUUCCCAACAUAACAAUUGACCCUCAUGCCAAGAGCUUUCCAACCAUUACCCAUAAGGCCAUGUUCUAUUUUUGGAUGUGGCAUUUUCGAAGAGGAUAACAUUCUAGUGCAUUUUUGGAAACAAGUUGAAAAUACAUUGCACAAGCUCAUGACAUCAUUUCUGCACGUCCAUUCCUACUCAAUGUGAUACCAGCAUUCAUUUGCAAUCAGAAUUGGACCCUCUAUGCACCUGUACAGGCCCAUGCAUGGAGGCCCUCUUCAUUCAUGCACACACAUUGUUCAUGCAUUGACUUUGCCAUUUGCUAUAAAUAGGAGUGCAUAACUUCAUCAUUGGACAACCUGAAGGCGCCUGUUAUGCUGCAAGAAUCCCUCUAUAGCCUCACUUAAAGGAACUCUCUCUUUAUUUUCAAAUUUUCAGAUAUGAAUUUCAACUUCAUUGGUUGAUUUUCAGACUCAUAGUUCCUUGACCUUGCUUCAUCUUCAUCCUGAGAUCAUACUGCAAGCAAUAGCUAAGAGAAUUCGUGCCUUUCAGAUCCACAUUUCAGAGGUGGAUGCUCAAACUUUUUCUCUUCGAAACUCCUUGAUUAUUAUUGUUUUCUUGCAUUUAUUGGUUUGGCUUAAGUCCUCUCAUCAGAGGCAAUUGAUUUGUGUUUUGAAUUUUGAAAAACCAUUAAGUUUCAGUUGAACAUCAUAAUUUUUAACCUUUGAUUUCUUUUACCAUGGAUGUCUAGAGCGAAAAUAGAUGGCACAGGGGUGAUGUACAUCACCCCAGCUUUCCAUUGCUGUAUAGAUCGUGGCAUUUGGUUGAGGUUGCAAUGUCUGCAACUCUCACCGGAACUGAAGGUCUCGCCGGAGAAGACGGUGGUGUACACCACCAUCCGUUUACCAGAUUAAGCCAUGGCUGUUGGAUCUCGUUUCCAGAUCUAAUCUGGAUCCUUCUUUCUUAUGACUUUUUUAAUGGCUACCUGUUGCUCAGUUGACUAGCGUGUUUGGUGGAUGCGCGCUCAUGGACCGUUUGAUGCGCCAGCUCAAUUAAUGAGCUUAUAUCCAACGCCUCACGUUUUUCCUAAUUUUUUAUUUCUGAUUUUAAUUUUCAUUUUAUUUCUUUUAUUCCAUUUCAUUUCAAAAAAUCAUAUCUCAUUCAUUAUUAAUCCAAAAAAUGUGAGACCAAUUGCAUUAUUUCUCUUUUAAUUUCUAAUUUCUGAAAAUGAUUUUUAAUAUUUUUUAUUUUAUCAUUUGAUAUUUUUUAUGAAUUUUCUCUUUUCUGGUUAUUUUUAAUUCAUUUUAAAUAGUUUUUGAUAUUCAAAAGAUAAAAAAAUAUUUUCUCAACCUCUUUGAAUGAUGAUGGAUCUAUGAAAAAUAUUCCCAUCAAUUUAUUAAUUGAUUUGAGAUUUAUUUGAGAUUUUAAUUCAAUUAGAUUAUUUUUAUGCAUUUUUAAUUGAUUAAAAAUAGUUUCUGGUUUCUAAAAAUGCUAAAAAAAAUUGUCAAACUUUGUUUGACCUUGUUGAACUUAGGAUGAUCCAUUUCGACUUUUCAAAGUUGAUUUGAAAUGGAUUUGAAAUUUGACCUUUAAUUGUUUAUUUUAAUUCAAGUAUUAUUUUAAUUUUGAAAAAUACCAAAAAUAUUUUAUUUGUUUCUUGACUUCUAAGCUUCAUUUGGCUUCUGUUUACUAAUGUUUGGCCUUGGUUCCAUCUAUCUUUGGUCAAUGUAUGUUGAUUACUUCAUUUGAAUUUCCAUUAAUGCACUUUCUUAUUCAUCUCCUUCUUCUUCUUCUUUUUCUUUUUUGAUCAAUGAGUUAAAGAUUGGUGGUUAGCCUUGAAGUAUGGGAGGUUUAACCUUCCUUGAUUCAAAUCUAAUUCAUCUUGAUCAUAGAUCAAGUGAAUGGCUUUGCAUUAAGGAUAGGUUGCUUCCUAAUCAAGCAAAGAACCUAAAUCAAUACAAGAUCAGUUCUCAUCUUCUUUUGCAUGGCAAGUUGUAGGAGCUUGAUUCACUAAUCAAGAUCUCUAACUUGUGUUUGUUGCCUAUAUUCUAUUGACCGGCCUCAGAUAGGUGUGACUACUACAUUAGUCCACUUACGAUUGCUUAGCGCUAAAUUGCCUUAUGGCACACUAACUCUAACUAUUGACCAUUAACAUUUAAUUCUUGCACUUUACAUUUAUGCAAUUUAAUAUUCUUGUACAUAUUAUUCAUUUGCUUUUGCCCUUUGCUCACUUGAGCCCAUGUUUAUGUUAAUGCAAUUUGCCUUUUGCUCACUUGAGCACAUAAUUGUAUAUAUAUUAUUGUGCUUGUGUUUUGUUUUGAUUGUUGUGAACCAAAUGCCAAAUGGACAAAAGGACUUAGAUUCUAGGACAUUCCCUAUGCAAAAAUGGAGUGAAAAGGCCUUAAUGUUAAAGAUGAAUUGGAAGGACCAAAUCUCUAAACUCAUUCUUGUCCAUUCCUUGUUGACAUUAUAGAACUCUUUGAUGUGUGUGUUCUUGUGCUAGGGAUUCCUAUUUGAGCCAAAGUGAAGAACCAUUGUCAUGUGCAUCUAAAGCGAGAGAUACAAGAGCCAUUGGAAGAUUCCUAAGAGCCUUGCUUGAUUGAUUGAUUGAUUGAGUAUACACUUAUUUGCUUGCUUAUUCCAAAGGAUGGGAGCUACUUGGAUCAUCAAUAUGAUCUCAAGAAGGGAACUCCAUUUGUGGUCUUGUUUCUUCUCCUUCAUCUCUUGUAUGCUUAGGACUUAGCCAUUCUUCUUCUUCCCUCCACUCUAACCCAAGCCAAAACUUUUGUGCAAACAUUAACAUUUGUUUUCAAACAUUAGAAACCUAAGCAUCAUGCUUUUGAUUUUCAAACUUUCUUUUCAUAACACUUAUUUUGAAUUGAAUCUUUAAGUCAACUUUGACCAUGUUUUGUAAAUACUUUUCAUUGGUAAAUAUAACUCACUUAAAUGUUUUGUGGUUUCAAUGGCCACUUUCUUAUCAAAACUUUUCAUAACCAUUAGCUAUUAGGUUCGAGUUAUCCUUGAGGAACUAUAUUAUGAGUGGAUAUAGGAAUCACUACCUGUUACUGUCUUCCAUGCUUAUUAUAGGGUUAACCCCUCACUAGCAUGUUGAAGCUAUCCUCACAUGGUGGAUUUGUGGUUUUAAGGUUGAGUUUUCUCCCUUGGAUAACAAAAUACCUUAAGGCUUUUGGACCAAUCAAUUCACCAACUUCUUUUGAGAUUUUUACCCCAAACUACGAGGUUUUGAUCCUAAUUGUUUUUAAGAUGGUACGUAGGCAGUGGGUUUAUCCAUUCAAACACAAAAAUUGUAAAUAAUUUGUACAUUCUUCUCUCAUCUCCCCAAUCAUGUUUGCACAAAUAAUUUUCACAAAAUACCAACCUACCUUACAACAAAUUGUGAAAAGAGCUCCCUAGGAGUACCUAGGAUGUUUUGGGUGCUUAAAACCUUCCCAUUGCAUAACCAACCCCCUUACCCCAAUCUCUGACAUUUUUAUUAGUUUUUGAUUCGAUAAAACUUCUCGGUUUUUGUUCGAGGGUGCUUAAAACCUUCCCAUUGCAUAACCAACCCCCUUACCCCAAUCUCUGACAUUUUUAUUAGUUUUUGAUUCGAUAAAACUUCUCGGUUUUUGUUCGCUUUCUAACCUUUCCUUUGGAUAAAUAAAAAUGCGGUGGCGACUCGACUUGUAUGAUUUACUUUUGAUUUAGUCAAUAAAUCUAAAGGUAACGAAUACCCCGCUAUAGUUAUGUCACACAACCACAUAAAUAGUACAAUGCAUUCCAACACCAUCACACAGAAAAAUAUUCAUUUUCAAGUACUGAAACCAAUUUUAAAUGACAAUAAACACUCUUAGCUUUCCGACGCUUCAAACCACGCGUCAAACCGAGUUACGGAGUUCAAAUUACGUCAUUUUUAAUUUCCCAAUUUUUUCACGUAACAGUGGUAACCGGUUACUCUCAAAUCGGUAACCGGUUAUGGGCUUCAAAAACAGCCCAGAAACCUAUUUUUCACCGUUGGAGGUCUUUCAAACCAAUGUUUUAAAAACCGUAUCGGAGAUCGAACAGGUAAAACUUGCGGUUUAAGAUUUAAUUAGUUCAACCGAUUAAACCUACGCUCGAACCGUUUAUUAAAUAAACUAAUAGUUCUACCCUUCAUUUAAGAAUAAUUUGACCAAAUUAAAGAAUUACAAUAAAAUUAUUUAAACUAAUUUAAAUAAAUAUUAAAAUAAUAGAAUAUAAUAACUAAAAUAAAGUUCAAAUAAUUAAGAAUACCUAAAUUAAAUAAGAUAGAAUACUAAAAAUAAAUAAUAUAUUAUACUUUAUUAAACAAAACAAAAAAACGAAUUUGAGUUGAACUACGACAAACAAGUCUUAAUUGACAAAAACAAAUAAUAUUGACUUGAACGACAAUCAAUAUUAUGUUGGGUAUCACUAUGUUUAAAAGAGACGACGUGAUGAUGAUGGAGUAUGGUUGAAAGAAAAACUAUAAUGGAGUGAAGAAACUUAGAAGUUUGUAUGGUUGUAAAACAAAUAUAGAAUUCUUUGUUUGUGUUGGAGAAUGUACGUUGAGUUUUGAUAUUGACAUGUUAAAUUUUUUAUAAAAAAAGGUUAAUUUAAUGCAUUUUUUUGAAUCGGACGGUUUUACAAAACCGACUUAGGUUCUUUGGUUCGAAUGGUUUUGGGCGAUUCAAUCCGGUUUUUCCAGUUUUACUUCGGUUUUAACCCACUAACGAUUUUGAAAGGUUUACCCAACCAGAUUCAUCUCCGGUUCCCGAUCCAACUAGUUGAACUGGUCGGUUCGGUCCGGUUCUUAAAGCAUUAUUCUGGACCUCCGAUUUCGAUUCCGUAAAAACCUUUGAUCUUAGGAUUAGACAUACUAUAAUUAUUCAAUAAUUAAAACAAAAAAAAUCAUAUUAAAUCACAUAUUAGCAUAAAAAAACCAUUCAUUCUCAUCAAUUCAUAUGUACCCCAAACCUCCCAACAACAACAAGUUGCAACAAUUCAUCAUUUCAACUCUGGCCCGAAACCACAUCAAUUCACACAACUUUUACAUGUCAGAAUCCAAUCAAAUUUCAUGGGUUUAACAACAACAUUUUCAUCAUUAGCACAAUUCAAUCAAUUUCAUGGGUUUAACAAUAAUAUUUUCAUCAUUCCCAUAAUUCAAUCAAAUUGCAUGGGUUUAACAACAACAUUUUCAUCAUUCCCACAAUUUAAUCAAAUUGCAUGGGUUUAACAACAACAUUUUCAUCAUUUCUACAAUUUAAUCAAAUUUCAUGGGUUUAACAACAACAUUUUCAUUAUUCGCAUAAUUCAAUCAAAUUCCAUACGUUUAAUGACAAUAUUUUCAUCAUUCCCACAAUUCAAUCAAAUUUCAUGGGUUUAACAAUAACAUUUUUAUCAUUCUCACAAUUCAAUCAAAUUUCAUGGAUGUAGAAGCAACAUUUUCAUCAUUCACAUAAUUCAAUCAAAUUUCAUGGAAAACACAUAAUCUACAUAGAGAAGAAAACACAUAACCUACAUUGCAUAAUCUAUCCACCAUCAUCAUGUUAACCCUUAGAUAAUCAGAACCCCGCCCUUACCUUAGAGUUCCUAGAAAUAACUUCUUUAACCUUCAAUAAUGGUGAAUCUCCCCUUGAGUCCUAGCAUUUUCUUCUCACUCUAUCUGCUUCUCCUCUUUUCUCUCCAAAUGUUACGUACUGAGUUUCUAUCCCAAUACCCCUUUUAUAUUUUUAUUAUAAAUCAUAUUAUUUUUUAAACUUAUUAUAUUAUCACUAUUUUCUUAAUAAUAAUAAUAAUAAUAAUAAUCCACUCAAAUUAAAUAAUUAAAUUAAUAUUCAUAUAAUAUUAAUUAAAUAAUUAAAUAAUUAAAUAAUAACUAGUAUGAUUAAUUAGUUUUAGUCAUCACACCAUCUUUUCUACACUCUUACUCACACACUCUCCAACACCUUAAUUUCUAAGGCAGCUACCCCACACCAAGGGUACACAACACAUCAAAACACCAAUCAACACAACACAACCAUAACUAUCACAUAAUUAAAUUACGGAAAAUAAUUUAAAUAAAAUUGGGGCGUUACAUCACUUGUGUGCAGCUGACUUAGGAAGAAUUAGAUUGGGAGUUGGAUUAUAGGUUAUCCUUUGGCUUAGUCAUUUUGCAGCAAGGCAAUGUGGCAAGGCAGAAAGGGCAAUGCGUGGAAUAUGAUGCUUGAACUAUUUAGCCAACAACGCAAGGGCUUGGUGUUAUGGAGCUUCUUGAUGGAAUUUGGAAUGUUAUGGAUGUCAUGGAAUUGUUUAUAUAUUUCCAUUAUUGUACUUUAGUUGUAAUUGGAAAAUUGACAAUGAAUGUAUGAAUGGUUAUGUUGCAAUACGUAUGGAUUUUUUUGAAUGAAAUCUUAUUUAUGUAUGGAUUUGAUUGAAUUUAUAUUGGAAGGUGGAUUUGAAUGUAUAUAGUUUAAUGAAAAUUGAAUGACAUGGUUUUGAAUUGGUUAAAACAAAAGGUUGUAUUGUAAUUGAACUAAUGGCUAUGUAAUUAAUGUUUCAAUGGUUGAAUGGUUUAAAAAAUGAUAAGAUGGCUUAAGUGAUGGAAUAUGGACUAGGUUCACCUAGAGGUCCAACUGCUGGUCUGACAAAGAAAUGAACCUGGUUAUGAACUUGGUCAUGACCUAAUUUCUUGGUCCAAAUGGUGGUCCAACCUAGAAAUGGACCAAUAAAUGGACCAAGUCCCUUUAGUCAUGCAAAAUCCAAUGAAACAAGGACUUUAAUGAUGAAGCACGGAAGAAUGAAUGAAAAUUGGUUUUAGGGGGUCAAGGGAGGGUCAGUUGACUUUGGUCAACUGAUUGACCAAAAAGUAAGUUGUUGACCAAAAGUCAACUAUAACAAAUCUGAACAAUAAUGUGGUUUUGUAUGGACAUGAACACCUUUGUAAUGGAAUGAACAAUAUGUGAGUGAAAAUGACACUUAAAUUGAUUAAGUUGAUCAUGAAUGAAAUUGUCUAAAAAGACUAUGGACUGGAUUGAAUUGGCUGGUGGACAUGACCAUCCAAUGAACCAAACAUGAGAAACAAGACCUAACAAUCUUGAAUGUGUUAUGAAUGAGGACUUUAUUGAACUUGAAUAGACUAAAUACCCAAGAGUAAUGACCAAGGUAAAACCAAAUGGAUGGGGAAUAAUGACCUUGAUCCAGAUGAAAUCCCAAACGAGUGGAUAUGUAGAUUAGAUGAAUGAAUCUCAUGCACAAAGGCAAGUUUAAUAGUUGAUGAUGCAUGAGAAGAUGUAUGACAAGAUGUAUGACAAGAACAUCCUUCUAAUGAGCUAGGGUUUUAGUCAUUUCCAUGAUUAAAAGUCAACCUCAAAUGGCACACAAGUACCAAGCUUCCUUGAUUAGGGUUUCAUGAUGCACAACCCCCAAUCAAGGUCUUCAAACAAAGCAAGAAGCUCCACAAUUAAGACCCCAACACAUGGGCCCAUAAUUAGGGUUUAGAUUAUCAAAUCAAUGCUCAAGAAGCAAUCAUAAAGUCUCAUAGUAGCACAAUCAAGGAUUAGGGUUUUGAUGCCCUGAUCCAUAAGCAAACCUUAGUCCUUCUGUUAAGCAUGAACUUUGAAUCUAUGAUGAUUAUUAGCAAGUGUUAAUAUGAAUGAAUGAUGCACAUGAAUGAGGCAUGAAUGAGUACAGAUGAAUCUUAAGUCAUAGGUUAGAUGAAAAAUGAGAAAGGGAGGACAAAUUUUGGGUAUGACAACCUUAAGUGCUGUCACCAUAGGGAUCCAUUUCUUUGGAAGACUUUUGAGGAUUUUCUUUACGUGAUCUGAAGUGGUGUAGCCUUUGUUCAGAAAUUUUAAUCCAUCCACAAGAGUUUGAAAUCUUGAGAACAUUUCCUCAAUCAUUUCAUCUUCUUCCUUUUUGAAUGACUCAUACUUCUGGAUUAAAUCCGAGCCUUUAGUUUCUUUAAUUUGCUCAUUCCCUUCAUGAGUCAUUUUCAAAGAAUCAAAUAUAGACUUAGAAAAGUAUCCAUUUGUUAUCUUUUCAGACUCUGAAUUGGAAAUAACAUUCAACAAUAUAUUUUGGAUCUAUGAUGAUUCUUGUGACCCUUCUUUUAUCGCGCAUUCAUUUUGCUUCUUUCAAUCUUUUUACCAUUUUCAUAUAUGGAAUGAAUUUAAACAUAUAUCAUCAUAUCCCACAGAUCUGCAUCAUAACCUAUGAAGAAACAUUUGAUUCUAUCUUUAUAAUAGUCGAACUUUCUCCAUCAAUGAUUGGAAGUUUUGCAGAAUAAUGAUCUUUAUCAUUGUUUGUAUGUGCCAUUAUGUGUCUCAAAAAUAUGGAUGUUUAUCUGACACGGUUAAGUGUUUGACAUAAAAUAGUCAAUAACAUUACCAAAGUUCCGAUGCCAAUUGAAGGUUUCGGAAACACAAGAAAGGGGGGGAUUAAAUUGGGUUUCAAAUAUGACAAGUUUUUGUUAUCAAAAAAAAAUAAUGAUAAAAAUUACAAUAUAUUUUUAUCUUAGUUCACCGUUAACGGGGUUAAUCCAUCCCACUCGCCAGAGUGAUUUUUCCUUCUCAAUGGGACUUAAUCAAGUAAUCACAAUGAUUACAAUCUCAAAGACUAUCCGCCAAUGACUUCUUAAGGAUUCUGACUAACCUUAGUCAUUAAGGAAUUACAACUCAAAGACUAACCAUAAAUGACUUCUUAAGGCUUCUGACUAUACCCUAGUCCCCUGAGGAACUUAACAAUUGUUUAAUACAAGAUUUUUGUUUACAAAGCUGCUUCUAAAUAAGCAGAUACACAAAGUGAUUAUUAGAAUUUACACUUAAGAAUAUAUGAAAUGAAGUGAUAAGUGUUUCUUUCAAUUUUCUACUUCUUGAUAUGGAUCUUCUUUAUUGAAAUUCUUUCAGUAUGAAGUUUCUUAUCAUUGUUGUCGUUCAAUCGUUGUUUUCACAAUUCCUUUGUCCUCUUUAUAUAGAUGAAGAAAACUAUUGUUGGAGGAUAGAAUUGGAAACUUAUUCAAAUUCACAGUUGUAAUAGUUGGUACGAGAGUCAUCCGAAAAUAAUGGGUAAUGGAUAGAAAAUAUUUUAUAGUCGUUUGUAUUACACUCCUUUUGAUUUUGUAGCUUAACUUGUAUUGUACACUUAGAAUAUUCAUUCCAUCUUUAUCUCUAAAACAUUGGCUUUGUAUAUGAGAGACUUAAAGCUUGUUAAGAUUUCAGAUCCUUGAGAAUAAACUUCAGAUUCUAAUGUAAAUAAGGUUUGAAUGAAUAAGAGUACAUUUGUGUUGUUUACUUCAGAAGUGUUGAGUGGUAAAUCCAAAUUUGACUUUAAGUUCAGAACUUCUUCAUACUUUAACUUAUCCAAAGUCUGUUGAUGUCCAGAGUCUCUCUUUGUCCAGAGUUAGAAUAUGGUUUGACCAACUUUGUUCAGCGUCUAGCUUGUUCAGACUUUGCUAUAUUCAAGAUUUGGCUUGUUCAGACUUUACUUUGUUCAGGAUCUGGCUUAUUUAGAGUCUUCUUUCUCUAGUAUCAGGCUUAUUCAUAUUUUGCUUUACUUAGUUUCUAGCUUGUUUAGAGUCUGCUUGAUUCAGAUAUUGGCUUGUUCAAAUUAUGCACUUUUAACAAACUAUUAGAGUACAAAAUUGUUCUUUUACUCUCUGUUAUCAUCAAAACUCAAGGAUAAAAGAUGUAAUAGAAAACUUUUUCCAACAAUACAGUCUCAUACCUACACAGUAUUAUGAUUACUCUUGACCCAUUAGGGAUUUCGUCAACACAUUCCCCCUUUUUAGCUAAAAGUUAUCUAGGCCACUUGUUUUAUAUUCAUGUACUUUGAUAGUUAUCACCUCUCCAACUAAUCCUUGGUCGUCCAAAUUUUCCUCUAACUGGUCAAUAUUUCUUUUCAUACUAGGGAUCUCGUCGGGUAUGAUCUAGGAUUUUAGACAGGAACGCCAGAGUCAUUGAUUCAUUUGACUGUUUCCCACUUACGGCAAACGCAUGCCGGUCGACAACUCCAUCAAAUGAGUUUAUUCUGGGUGAGAUCUUCGUACCGACCCUCGUGAGAAAAGCUUCUCGGGACCCGCACUAUGCGACCAUCGACAUUGGGUUCUAGACAAGGGUCUCAGAGUCAUGGAUUUCCUUGACAGUUUGCCGCUUACGGCAAAAGCAUGUCGGUCGACAACUCCAUCAUGAAAAUCUACUCUGAGUGAGAUCUUCGUACCGACCCUCGUGAGAAAAGCUUCUCAGGGACCUAUACUACGUGACCAUCAAUAUUAGUUGGCAAAAGGUUCAAUAUUUUAUGAAGGUCCUUAGAGUUAUGCAUCCUAAUGAAAACAUUGAUCACUUACGUCAAAAGCUUGACGGUCGUCAAUAUCCUCAAAAGAAUCUACUCUAAGCGAGAUUCUCGUAUCGAUCCUUACAAGAAAAUCUUCUCGGUGGCCCAUACUACUCAACCUCUCCUAUCUCAAGUUUCCAUUCUAUACUCGGUUAGAGAGUCUCUCCCACAAGGUUUCUUGCAAUCAAGGUAGUAUCCGUCAAUACCAUAACAUAGGAACCACAUAACAGAUAUCCAAUGAAAAUUUAAAGCAAAAGGCAAUAAAUAAAGCAAGUAAUGCAAAAGGAUAACCACCCAAACACACGAGGAAGCAACCUAGACUAGGCUUGACUUGCUUAAGGAGGGCUCCCCAUCAGAGUCGCCAACUGUCGCUAUGUUAAAAAUACAGAGUCCUCAUCAGUUUUUAUUUAUUCCAAAGGAAAGAGAAAAUAUCGAGAAAACCCCAAAAGAAUGAUCGCCACAACCACGAACAGGUUUGGAAGUCGAUUAUGCAAGGGGAAGGUAUUAGCACCCCUCACAUCCAUGGUACUCCAUGGGAACCAUCUAAGAUGUCUACGCUUGAAUGUGUGUUGGUAUCUUAGUGUUUACUUGCUAAAGGUUUAAAGAGUGGAGAUGGAUAUUUAAUUAGUGUGCUCGCCAAGGAUUUGGGUCCUCAUGCCUACGUAUGCUCAGUUGUUGAAAUGAGAAAUCAGAGCCCCGUAGUUUGUGGGUACAAAAUGUUUGUUCGUUUUGUUGAUUUAGGUUUUAGAAGUGAUGCCUGAAGGCUCAAACAAAAGGUUUGAUGAGUUGACGUUGUUUUUAUGUCUUUGAAAAGAUAAUAUUCUUGACUUCGGAUUUCACUAAAGACUAUGGGUAAAGGUGAGUAUUUCGAAUUACCAAGCCAAGCGUCUUGUGUUCAAAAUACUCAGAACGAGUGUAGGAAAUCUCCAUUCUCAUCCAUUCUCUACCACUUAAGGCUCUUGGCGUACAAUCCUAAUCAUAUUUUAUUAUGUUUUUGAAUUUGGUUUGAGAAAAUACCGCUUGACGUUGUACCGAGGGUUUGUUUAUUGAUGAUUUGUGAAAUGGUGAGAGAUUGAGGAAGAGAUGGGAAAGAAUGGAUGAAGUGGAUGAAAUACUUGACGUUGGAUCAAGCACUGUGAUUUUAUUUGAAAAACAACUUGAUAUUGGAUCAAAUAUCUUUUGUUUCUUUUGAAAAGUUUUGUUUUAUCUCUUGUUUUUUUAAUCUUUUUAGUUAGCAUGCAUGAUGAAAUACUAAAAGAAAUAAACAUAGACUAUUACAUGUUUAUGGGAUGGGGGGACAUUUGAUCCACAAUGGGAGGAUGUAAGCAAUUAAACCAUAAAGGAGAAAUGGAAAGAAAAUACAAGUUACAAAGUAUGUAUCAUGCCUAAACAUACAAGUGGCAUGACACUUCAUACAAUUCAAGGCUAUUGGAUGAGAAUGAAUUAGAGGCAUGACUAGUUAGGAGUAUGCUUGAAUCUCAAAGUCACAUGUGGGAACACAAAGCAACAAACGGGGUUAGCAUGAGAUCAAGUCAAAUGAGAAUGAUGCGAUAAAUGUAAGCUCAUUCAAUGGUUUAAAUCAAUUCAAAUGGUAAAGGAUUAAUCGAUGAAAAGCAAUCUAAGAUCUACCAUGUGAUUAUGGCAAAUGAACUAGGUACACAAGAAAUUCAUCAUCUAAAUUGAAAUGGAAUUUUAAAUUUAUCAAUAUGAUCACAAACCAAAUGAAUCGAUCAAAAGUCAAUUAAAAAUGACUAUUAAUUCUAAAGAUGAAAAUCUAACUAAACAUGAAUUAAGAUCAAAAUUAAUCAAAUGGGAAAUUCACAAUCCAAAUUCAAGAAUUUAAUCUAACCUACAUGAUCAUGAACAAUUAUCAUACAAUAGUCCAAUUGAAUGAAAAUUCAAUCUAAAUUCUAAUCAUGGUAAAAUCAACCAUUAACCUUGUUAAUCAACACAAAAAUCCACAAAAAGAAUUAUCAAAACCUAAUGACUAUUAUUCUAAUCAUGGCAAGGUUAAUCAAUUAUGAAUUAAAUCUAGAAAAUUAAGAACUAAAUCUAAUCUAAAAAAAUGAUUAAACCUAAUUCCUAAGUCCUAAUUAACUAUUUGAUUCUAACUAUGGAUUAAACUAAUUAAUCAAAAAAAAAAUGCUAAUUCCUAAUAUCUAAAAUCAAGAACUAACCUAAAUCACAAUUAGAUCAACCAUUCAACACCAAGAUUAGUCACAAAAACUAGGAAUUAUAACUAAGUAAUUAUGAAUUAAUCAUGGAUUAAAUGGAGUUAAGAAAAUAAAUUAUGAACAUGGGUCAGGGGUAAGAUCCAAGAUGGAGGGGUGUGAAUUGGGAAUAAAAUACUUGUUAGUUCACUUGGGCCAAGGGCCUAAUCUUGCCUAAAGGGACCCAAGAACCGACUUCAUGAAAGAAUUCCAUAAGGUAGCUUCAAACUCACCCCGAAUUGAGCGCUCAUGAGAACUCACGGAUUGAAUGAAGUUGCUCGCGUCAACCUUGCAUCAUUGUCGUCAACGCGUCAUCGACGAGGAAUGAGGAUCAGCUUCAAUCGGUAACGUGUAGUCGAUGAGGAGUGAGGAUCGGCUUCAAUUGGUAACGCGUAGUCGACGAAGAGUGAAGAUUAGCUUCGAUUGGAAAUGCAUCGUCGACGAGGAGUGAGGAUUAGAUUUGAUUGGAUUCGUCUCCAGGUAAUGUGUUCGCCCUUUGAUUUCUCUCCUUUUCUACGGACACUCUGUUCUAAACUUAUUCUUUCAUUAUGGUAUGCAUCUCCUCAACCUCUUUUGAUCUCUCCUUCUGUUUCCGUUUUUCUUCUCUGUUUGCUGUCUUUUUAUGUUGCAAUUUCUUCUUUGCCAUACCUCUUCUUAUUAAAUUCUAUUUAUGUUUUCUGUUGGAAUUGUGGUCUUUGUUAGUGGUUGAUAAGGGUUGUUAUCAGGAGCGUUAGAGGAAAUUCUAUUACAAGUGGUUAGAGGUUGUUGAGGAGUUUAUUGGAGGUUGUGGAUUCGGUUGAAGGGUGUUUUUUGAGGGAGAUAGAGGUUCUGUAUUGGAGCAGAUUGAAGGUUGAGUGUGUUAGAAGUGUAUUCUGGAUCGAAGUCAGGUUGGUUAUGUGGAGGAAUGAGGGUUUUGUAUGAGUUUCUUGACAGUUGGAGAAUUCUGCAGGUUUUUUAGUUUAGGAUUAUUGAAGAUUGGAAGAGGGAUAAUAAUAUGUUCAGUGCAGGGAGCUGUUAUCAGUUAUAUUCUGUUGAGAAGUUUGUUGAUAGUUGGUUGUCAUUCUGUUGGUUAUGAGAGGAGUUUGUUAUAGGUUGGUUGAGAGUUGAGGGAAGGUUUUGGGAGAAUUCGUUUCAGGUGGUUAGCUUGGUUAUUUUGUUAUAUAUUUUGUUGGAAAUCAGUUACAUGGUUUACGAGUUUUUGAAUCGGUUGGGAAUUCAGUUACGGUUCAGUUUUUGCAUUCUAUUAUGGUUAUCUUGAUUCUUUUGACGGGUUUUAGAUUGGUGGUGUUAGUAUUAUUUUUUAUGUAUGUUAUCAAAUGACUCCUAUUGUGAAAUGUUUGCUUUGGUUUUGAUGAUUUUGUGCAGGGCUGAAUCGGCUUGCUUAGGGACUUAGUGAAAUGGAGUCCAUGAUGUUAUCAUGGAGCUAUUGUGAUAUUGUAAUUGGAUUGGAUUUUAUUGAAUGUAGACUUGGAUCAUAUUGGAAAAUUGUGGUUGUUGUAACAUGAAUUAGUGAUUUUGGAAAUGUAAUGUAAUUUGGAAUUGAAAUUGUAUAAGAUAGUUGUAUGAAAUUAUUGAAUUUCAGAAUUGUAAUGGUAAUGGUUUAAAUUGGGAUUGAAAUUGAAAAUGUAAUUGCAAUGUGGUUUGAAAUUUCUAGGUGUAUGGCUUAGAAUGAAAAAUGGUUUAAAAACGUUUAGAAU